rnacentral:rRNA from 1 species
CAUCGGGUAGAGGGAAAAGGAGCAAUCCGCUUUGAGAUGGCCUCGCGUCCGAUUAGCUAGUUGGUGAGGUAACGGCCCACCAAGGCGACGAUCGGUAGCCGGACUGAGAGGUUGAACGGCCACAUUGGGACUGAGACACGGCCCAGACUCCUACGGGAGGCAGCAGUGGGGAAUAUUGCACAAUGGGGGAAACCCUGAUGCAGCGACGCCGCGUGGAGGAAGAAGGUCUUCGGAUUGUAAACUCCUGUUGUUGAGGAAGAUAAUGACGGUACUCAACAAGGAAGUGACGGCUAACUACGUGCCAGCAGCCGCGGUAAAACGUAGGUCACAAGCGUUGUCCGGAAUUACUGGGUGUAAAGGGAGCGCAGGCGGGAAGACAAGUUGGAAGUGAAAUCCAUGGGCUCAACCCAUGAACUGCUUUCAAAACUGUUUUUCUUGAGUAGUGCAGAGGUAGGCGGAAUUCCCGGUGUAGCGGUGGAAUGCGUAGAUAUCGGGAGGAACACCAGUGGCGAAGGCGGCCUACUGGGCACCAACUGACGCUGAGGCUCGAAAGUGUGGGUAGCAAACAGGAUUAGAUACCCUGGUAGUCCACACUGUAAACGAUGAAUAGUAGGUGUUGGAGGAUUGACCCCUUCAGUGCCGCAG